rfam:Brassica napus, WGS project CCCW01000000 data, contig: 17977
GUAAUAUAAGAACCCGUCUCUUAACUUUUAACUAAAAAAACUAAGAACCGGUUGUUAAAUAAGAGUUUUAAAAGCUGAUUCUUAACUUUUUUUAAUUAAAAGUUAAGAAACGGGUUCUUAUAUUCC